AGCAGCCGCGGUAAUUCCAGCUCCAAUAGCGUAUAUUAAAGUUGUUGCAGUUAAAAAGCUCGUAGUUGAAUUUCAGGCCUGGCUGGACGGUCCGCCCUUCGGGUGAGUACUGUCUGUGGUCGGGUCCUACCUUCUGGCGAAGCGUCAUGGCCUUAACCGGCUGUGGCGGGGAACCAGGACUCUUACUGUGAAAAAAUUAGAGUGUUCAAAGCAGGCAAUCGCUUGGAUACAUUAGCAUGGAAUAAUGGAAUAGGACAAUGGUUCUAUUUGUCGGUUUCUAGGAUCACCGUAAUGAUUAAUAGGGAUAGUUGGGGGCAUUAGUAUUCAAUUGUCAGAGGUGAAAUUCUUGGAUUUAUUGAAGACUAACUACUGCGAAAGCAUUUGCCAAGGAUGUUUUCAUUAAUCAAGAACGAAAGUUAGGGGAUCGAAGACGAUCAGAUACCGACGUAGUCUUAACCAUAAACUAUGCCGACUAGGGAUCGGACGCAGUUAAUUUUAUAAUGACGU
rnacentral:rRNA from 1 species